CUUUGCAUGUUUUUAAAACUCCAACUUCUCGAUUAAUUUCCAACUCUCUCUGUUCUCCUCAUUUUUAGAUUUAUUUUGUGCAUGGGUUGAACAAUCCAGUAUUUUCUUCUUACAAUUGAAAAGCCCAGGUUUCAAUUCCUCCAUAACAUGCCUUUGAGAUUUUUUACAAUUGAAAAGCCCAGAUUAUUUUUUUUUUAAUUUUAUUUCUUGUUAGCAGAAAAAUUCCUUGAGUUUAUUUAUUAUUUUUUAUAACGAUUGAACCACCUAUUAUUUCUUCUCGGCAGAAAAUUUUCUUUGAUUUAAUUUUUAUAUUUUGACCAGAUCCAGUAUUUCUUCUUACAAUUGAAAAGCCCAGGUUUCAAUUCCUUCAUAGCAUGCCUUCGAGAUUUUUUACAAUGGAAAAGCAGAAAAAUUGCAUGAGUUUAUUUAUUAUUUUUUAUAACAAUUGAACAACCUAUUAUUUUUCCACGGUAGAAAAUUUUCUUUGAUCUAUUUUUAUAUUUUGACCAGAUCCAGUAUUUCUUCUUACAAUUGAAAAGACGGAGUCUUUUAGGUGGUUUACAGCUUCACACCACCGUAUCUGGUGUAGAUUUUGUAGACUGACCAACGGCGCUGCCGACACCUAAUUAGGGUUUGGUUAAGUUUUUUGCCUUUUUUUUUUUUUUUUUUUGCCUCUGGCCCACUAAUUUAAAAGUCCUGGGCCCACUAAUUUAAAAGUCCUAUAUUUUUCCAUAAAUGUCCUUCAAAUUUUAGUAAUAAAUAUUCCGAUCUUAGAGGAUAAUUUUGUAAUUUUAUACCCAGGAUAUACUUUAUUUAGUCUUUUACAACUAUUACAGUCUGUAAAUGCUAGACUUUCAGUAUUAAUAAAAGUCCGUUUUUUUUUGUUAAGAUCCAUAAUUUGCCCCGAAUCUUCAUGACUCAUCACACUCUCUGGACUCGGUACUCACACAACUUUUUUUUUACCAACCCUUCCUCUCUUCCUUUACUCUCUCUCAACAGAUCUCCUCCAAACCCCUUUUCGUCCCCUCCAUCUUGUAUUUUUAAUUUACUUGGCUUUUUGUUUCAGUUCCACUGCAACUUCUUAAUAACACUGGUUCAUAGAGUUAUGGAAGGCCUCCUGGCACUCUAUUGGUCGAGAGAAAUAAAGAGAAUAAUGCAAUCUCUACCAAGGGGAAAUCGAAAAAGAGUCCGCAUAGAUCUGGGUUCCCAAAAAAAAUGGGUUAUAAAUUGGAGGAGCAUCAUCAGAACUCGCCGAACUUUUACCUAGGUUUUCAUUCAUGAUCCAGGGGUGGGCGAGCCCACCAAAAAAAAAUGGGUUAGAGAUUGGAGCAGCGGAAGCCCAAUAUGGAUUUAAAUGGUGUGUAAAAUCUCCUGGCAAGGAAUCUACUGGAAAUUCUUUAUAUGGAAGAAAAGGAUUUAAAUGGUAUGUAAAAUCUGGCAAGGAGUCUACUGAAAAUUAUGUAUUUGGAAGAAAAGCUUCGUGACUCGUGCCCUCCUGAGCAAGCGACCAGUCGUAGAAUGUACGUCUUCUUCAUCACUUGAUACAUCAUAAACAACUUCUAGUUUCUUGAACUUGGUCUGAUGUUGCAUGUCAAAUAUCUGUAAUGAGUAGCGUGUCUGGUAAAUUAUGCAAUUUUUUCAAGUGUGUUUUGCAGGCCAAGGACAUGGCAUUUUUACUACUCUCAAGGUACCGACGAAAAAUACUGAAGUAGUUCGUCAUGGGGCUAUUAAUAAUGCAGGAAGCACGGAAGCGUUUCGACAAGGCGAGCCUUCUUUAUGACCAGACGGCAUUGUCAUUGUUCUUAUAUUGUAACUGAGGUAUAUGGCUCAUGUAACACCUUUGGUGCAGGAUCAAGCCCAUGAGUUUAUGGACUAAAAUAAAAGGCAAGGGUUUUGAGUUGACAUGCCCAAACGGAUUUAUUCUACUCAUAGAAUUGACAAGGAUGAUAUAUAUGAUGAAGAUGAUGAGGAAAUUGCGCCGGGACGUGGGUGGUUUUACCUAUUUUCACAUGGGUUUUAUCCAUAGAGGGUAAUAAUCUAGCACAUUCCUGUGCCCAUAGGGCUAUGUUGGGUGACUCUUGCCCGCAAUUCAUUGUUGAUAAUCUAGCAUUACAGGAGGAGAAAAUAUUUUCACGUUCUUCGUCAAAAGGAUUAUGUCGCUAAAGGAGAAGAGGAGGUUAAAAAGAGUAGUUGGCAAAAUGAAGUGGCAGAAGAAAUAAGUUGACGACAUUUAUGUCUUAGUGGAGGCUAGAGAUGGAUGAUGGUUCUGGUUUUUUUUUUUUGGAUGUAUGUUUUGGUGGUGGUUUUGUUAUCUUUUUGGUUGCUUUUGAUAUGAUACUGGGGAGCUCUUGAUAUUAACGUGUGAAUGGUGGUUCUGACUUCUGAUAUGAUAUGGCUAUAUUUUUGUUGCU